rnacentral:rRNA from 1 species
UACAGAGGGUGCGAGCGUUACUCGGAAUUACUGGGCGUAAAGCGCGCGUAGGCGGCUUUGCAAGUCGGGUGUGAAAUCCCCAGGCUUAACCUGGGAACUGCAUUCGAGACUGCAUUGCUAGAGUAUGGGAGAGGGAAGUGGAAUUUCCGGUGUAGCGGUGAAAUUCGUAGAUAUUCGGAAGAACACCAGUGGCGAAGGCGGCUCACUGGACCGGCAUUGACGCUGAGGUGCGAAAGCGUGGGGAGCAAACAGG